CCCCCUGUGACUAGACCAAGAGAUUUCAGUGUUCCCUGGUGAACAUUUUGUGGGCUUGGAGACCUAAAAAUUCCUGUGGGGUAAAACGAGUGGCUGCGUACGUAAUUGCCACUGCCACCGCACCACCAAAGAAUCCCAAGGCCCUGGGCCCAGUAGCAACCUCAUCCUGAUCUAAACCCCGUUAGAGCAUGUCUGGGAACCCAGGUUAGCUCCUGUUUGUUAAAAUGCUGCUAAUGAGAUCAACAUCAUGAAGUUAAUUUCUAUAACCCUAUUCCAUAGCUGCAAACUACGAAGACAUCUUGAAAACAUGAAACGAUCAGAAGAGAGGUCAGAUAAUCGCAGAAAAGCGAUUCAGCAGAGAAGGAAGUGCUUGGUCUUGAUCUGA
rnacentral:lncRNA from 1 species